AUUGCUGAUUUGGUCAAGAUGUAAACAUAUCGUAGAGCUCCAGCAUGGGGGCUCACGCCUGUAAUACAAACACUUUGGAAGGCCAAGGUGGGAGAAUCACUCAAGCCCAGGAGUUUAAGAUCAACCUGGGCAACAAAAAUUUCUCUCACUUUCUUACAGGGCUACCACAUAAAGAAUAUGACAUUAUUAAAUUCCCCUGCAGUUACACAGAGCAGUGGCUCUACAGUUUCUUGUUGGCUGAAUUAAGCAUUUAAAGAAAUGUUUAAGUAUUUAAUACAACAUCUUCAGGUAUUUGAACUAAGAGAGUUUCUUGGGAAAUGUGCUAUUUGAUAGAUUGAGAAGUCUCCCAGUGCUGUUUUGCUUUGUUUCAUCACUCACUAUUUAAAUGUUAAUUACAAAAAUAAUACAUACUCACUGGAAGAAAAAUCAAACAAACUCAAAGCACAGAAAAAUUUUAAAGCCUCCUUGCUCUUGGUGGCUUUCUUUCUCCCACCAAUUUUUGGUGACUUCAAUUUUUGUGUUAGACCAUUUAUGUUCAAAGCAUCCACAUGAAACUUACCCUCUAUAAGGUGCUGUGAGCACCACAGACUUGAAUACCAGUUCCCAUGCUCAAGAAGCCUUCAAUCUUGUUGAGGAGAUAGAUGAAAGAACUGGCUUACAACAGAGAAGUAGAUGUAUUAAAGAGUCAGUUUUCCCAGCACUCUGGGAGGCUGAGGCAGGUGGAUCACCUGAGGUCUGGAGUUCGAGACCAGCCUGACCAACAUGGAGAAACCCCAUCUCUACUAAAAAUACAAAAUUAGCCG
ensembl:lncRNA novel transcript